UACGAAGGGGGCUAGCGUUGCUCGGAAUCACUUGGCGUAAAGCGCACGUAGGCGGGUUGUUAAGUCGGGGGUGAAAUCCUGGAGCUCAACUCCAGAACUGCCUUCGAUACUGGCGACCUUGAGUCCGGGAGAGGUGAGUGGAACUCCGAGUGUAGAGGUGAAAUUCGUAGAUAUUAGGAAGAACACCAGUGGCGAAGGCGGCUCACUGGCCCGGUACUGACGCUCAUGUGCGAAAGCGUGGGGAGCAAACAGG
rnacentral:rRNA from 1 species